CUGUUAACGACGUUAACC
rnacentral:snRNA from 1 species